rnacentral:lncRNA from 1 species
GGGGGUGCGGCCCUAGAAAGACAAAAGACAAAAAAAAAAAAAUCUUGUGGAGUCCGCAUCAUCCUCUUUUAAAGGUUAAAAAUACUAAGUGGGCUCCAAGGUGCUAAGUUCCUUUCCCAAGACUGCAUGGCUGCUAAGGAGGGAUCAGCAUCCGCACUGAGGUCAGCCUGGGAUUUAAUGAGCAGGUUGUACUAGGUCCUGCUCUUAAGGGAGGGCUGACCAGGGCUGCGGGGAAACAUGGCUGAUGCCUGUGGUCCUCACAGCCUCUUUAGUUUCAGCUUGCUUCCGCUUACCCUCCGCCAAGCUCUUGCCCAGGAAGAUAUUUUUCAAGGAACUCCUUUGUAUAGUGCAUGAGAGACAGUCAAGUGCGGCGUCGUGCUUGCUGGGGACAUGAACUUGGGAGGACAGACCGGGGUUCCACCACUGCCUCUGCCAUUCGAAGCCUUAACUUCAGGUCUCAGACGCAGAGGGGUUGUCACACUUUGCUCCUGGGGCUCUGAUCGGGAUGUUCGUUUUUACUGACGGAUAGCUGUUGGCUGGCAUUUUUAGGGAGAAAGUGCUUGGAGAGAGUUCCCAUGGCGAACCCCUACCCGGAAAGAGGCAUGCUGCAGAGACAAGGGGUGAGCUGUACUUCAGGAACCAGGCUUUUCCAAAAUGGAUGGCUCAGAACUGCUCUGCUGUUGUGGACUCUCCUCUUUCUUCCCUUUUUUUUUUUUUUUUUGGCAGAAGGGGACUUUGUCCCUUUGGCAGGGAAUUGAAUCUCGUAGGUGCCACUUAGCAUGGAAAGCAGGAACUACAUUCAGUGCUUCCCAAACCAUAGGGGCUGGAAGGAAGAAUGGUUUGCAGCAGCUUCAUUACCUAGGGAGAAAGAACUCGGAGUUACAGGCACUUUAAGAAAGAUGCUUUUACUUUGAGUGUCAGAGCAAAUAGAACAAUUACCUAUUGAAGGCAAAGUGGAUGAAAAAACACCUCUGUUCCUUCUACCCUGAUCAUUUCAUCUAUUCAGAUUCAUUCUGCCUUCCUGAAGGUGAUUCGAGCCAGGCUGUCCUUGCUCGGUGGCUGCACCCUUCCUCUCCCCAGCUAGAGGUUCCCAGCCAAAGACAGACUCUAGGAGGAGCUUCCUCCAAGGGCGGGAGCACCACAGGAAGUAUUGCAGGGAUGCGUGGAAUGCAAAGAAGGCGGGGCUGGGGGAGGAGGAGUCCACAAGGCAUCAAAUCGCCACUGAGCCUCUGCCUUAAAACCACACCAGGCUCUGUGACGAUUCCAGGGACAUCAGGCUACUCUGAGGAACUCAUCACCCGCCAGGGAGCAAGGCUUCUAUAUGUGAAGUCAGCAGAGAAGUGCAUUCUGUCUACACUGGAGUCAGAUUUCCAGUACCCGUCGUCGCACAUUCCCUUAAACAGACAAACAAAAAAGCCCUUUGUCUUGGUUAAAUAAUGAAUGAUCUUUAACAUGUAUUUAACACUUACUAUGUAGCAGGCACUGUUCUAACCCCUUUUAUGUUUGUUAUAUAAACAUUAUAUAUAUAUUACUAUUAUGUUUUUAUGAAUGCAGUAAAUGCGCUCAACAGCCUCCUGAGAUUGAUGCUAUCAGUAGCCCCAUUUGAUAGAUAAGGAGACUGAGGCACUGAAGGGCAGGCUGUUUGCCAGAGGUCCUACAGCUCACACGUGGUAGAACGAGGAUGUGAACCCAGGCCAGCUGGCUCCACAGUCACAGAGGAAAGAGAGCAAGAUGGUCGCUUUGAGAGCUUGUUGGCAUUUCGGUUCAGUUGAAGAGCAGCCAGGCUUUGCUAUCUGCUCAUCUGGCUUUGGCUGCCUUAAGACCUUAAGCACCCUCCCCCUCUCCAGAACUGGGACCAACCCUGUGCGGUCCCACCCCGCUGCUCCCCAAGCCCCGCCAGGCCUCUCAUUUGUAGCUGCUCUUACCGAGCACAUUUCUAAACGGGGAAGGUUGCUCUGCUUUAAGGACAUACAAAUGGCUUGCCCUCACCUGUCAAGCAUGAUCCUUGUAUUUUACCAGGCCCAUUAUGAACGCAAUCUUUCUGUCGAAAAUUUGCAUACCUCCUUUCUUGAAAAGUAAUGACAGCAAUUUCUUUCCCUCCGCUCCCUUUCUGAGUGUCUCAUUUAACGGCACCUGUGAAACCGACAGGCGCAGAGAUGAGAAGUGAAAGAGAGCAGUUGAUUAAAUCAUCAUCAAGUCGGGCCUCAGAAAGUCAAUUCUGCUUGCCGUCUGCAAUGAUAUCCUUUUAUCUUAAAGUAAUGAGCUAUGGCACUUUUGCAUCGGGUAAUGCGAUAAGUUCUAUUAGCAUGUUCCAUUUGCCUCACAAGCAAGGGCAAGUCAUUUCAGCUAGCUCAUAUCACUACAAUCAAAGCAAUUGGCUUCCCAGGCAGAGAAGAAAGGGAAAAGGCUCAGGGUGAUUUCUAUGGAUCACAACACAGCGGAAAAAAUCGACUCUUGUAUUAUUUUAACCCAUAACAUACUUUUCCUUUUUCCUCAUCAGCAAAGCUGGGUUUGAUGAGCUCGCCCAGGACUCUGAAGAGAACCAGGCUUUCCUUCAAGUGAACCUAGGGAGCCGAGGCCCCACCCAAAGGCACAAGCAGCUGGGAUCCGGGAGGGAAAACCGCAGCGUUUGGGGGGGUCACAGAGAGCAUCCUGCCAAAGAGGACGGCCGAGACGGUCUCCGCGGUUAUGACACUGUGCUCUCGUAAUAAACUCUUCCUUCACACCGUCCGCAAAGUCAUUUGUAAUAGGUCCCCAGGCAGGUGCGGAUUAAUGCUAUUGAUGACUUGGAAUCAGUAAAUCAAUGACAGAGAGGCAGAGGAUCUGUUGCUUAAGCUUCAGAGAGGUGGUUUACAAAUCCGCCGGCCCUAGAAGGUCAGUAUUCCUUUGGCCAAGAAACUCAUUUUUCCAUUUUGGCAGUCGCUGAGGCUUGUGAGCUCUGGGUUUUAAGUGCAUUUCGUCUUUGGGGUUUAUGUCUGUUUAUACCUAGCAAAAUGUGACUUCCUUUCUUCUAAGGAGAAAAAAAGUGCUGAACCCUCCAAAAAUGUGUGAAAUAGCCACUUCUUCCCCUACUUCCAAAAACCCCAUAAUAGUUCAAUGAGCUAUGUGGAAAUUUACAGCAUAGAAAUUGUUUUAUGAACUAAACCUGGAUUUCCAAGUGACAAACAGGAAAAAAAA